UCAUCAAACAAAAUCUCAAUCAUGAAUUGGAGAAUUGGAAUCUUUCUCCUCAAAUAAUUAAAUCUAUGAUAUUUAUGUUCUGAUAGUAUCACUAUACCAUAUUAUCAUAGUAAAAGCUUUGUAUUUUAAAAUAUUAAUCUUAAUAAUACAAUGUAUUAGUUCUUUUUAUUGGUAUUCUCAACCUGCUGAAGAGCAGACAUUAAAGCGGGAACGAAUGGAUGAAUAAGAAGUAUAAAUGGAAACCCAUAUACCACAGAUAGCUGAGAAAAGUUCUAAAUAAAAUAGAAUGUAUUCAGUAAUUACAUUUUCUAAGCGAUACAUAAGUUAUGGUAGGUAAUUUAGCAUAAAUGUUUUGUCUUACUCUGGCCUUAAUUUCUUUUCAAGUCAGUAACUGUCUUUAAAUAUGUAGAUUUAAUCUUGAUGUUUUUAAAAGCAAUACCAGCAACCUGAGUUCAGUUAGAUCUUUCCUUUACUUCUUGGCAUUUGUGUCACCUCUGUUUAAUAGUUAAAAUACCAGACAUUACUUUUCAUGUUUCUAUUAUUGCUCAUCCUGAAAACCAAAGUCAAAGUUAUGUAAACCACAACCAGCUAAAAUUUUGAGUAAUGUUGACAUUGUGUCCAUUAUGAAAUAUAAAUUUAUCUGUAUCGGGACAAUGAAAAUGCAAUGGAAAUAACAAUUCCAUGUUCACGGUAAAAAAUGUCACUUCAAGAACUACAACAUUCUCCCUACUUCUCAUGCUCCCUUCCUCUCCCACUUGCCAAAUACACGAAAAAUGGAAGAAUUCAUUAAACUCAUUGAACUGAGACAACACCUCUCCCCUCCAGUUUGUUUUCCACUCUGAUGUAUCAGUAGCUAAAGAUGAUUAGUAAUGAGGAAAAUGGACCCCAAAAAGAUUCAAUGAGUUGAGCUUCUGAAAUAUAGCUUUAUAAAUAGGAUAUUUACAAUAAAUAAUAUAUGCUUAAGCAUCAAGUCCAGAGUCCAGGGAAUAUGGAGCAAUAAUUUGUUUUCUCUUUGUGGAAUAACAAACACAUUUCUGAGAUUUUUCCCCUGAAAAUGUUUUGCAUCCUUGUACAAUCUUUUUGAUUAGUGCAUUGGAAGCAGAGCGCUUAUACCCCAAAUUUUCAGAGGCAGAGCCUAGCUAAUAAUCCAAUCUGAUGUCAAAAAGGACUCAGUGGGAAAUGUCCCACAAUGUGUGCCUUCAUAUUCAAAUGUGAUAAUAUAGUGAUUUACAUCUUUAAGAUUUUAUCCUACUUGAAAAGAGACUGUUUAAUUUCUGAUAGUUCUUUGAAUUUUCCAAUGAUAUUUAGAUUUUAAGCAAUUUCUUUAUAACUUACUAUUUAAAGAUAAAAUACAUUUCAAUCCCUCAGCUAAACACUGGUUAAGAAUGUUCUUUUCUACAUAAAAAUGAUGCCUAAAUAAUUUGCUUGUUUUCACACACUAAAAAAAAAAAAAACAAAAAAACAAAAAACAGUCAUGUCACAUUUAAGUGAUACCAGAGAAAUCUGAGGAUCUUUGAAAACCUUUUUAAAAAGUAAUUCAUUCUCUCUUUCUGCCACUGACAUUUUUCAUUUGAAAAGGGUUCAGGCUCAGUCAAACAGUGACUUCUUAUCUAUACCUGUGGAUUUACAAGUAGCUCUGUCUUUUAAUGGAUUAAGAACUACAAACUUAGGGCAGAUCAUAAAGUGAUACCCAAAUAUCUCCAAAGUUCUUGAGGUGUCUUUGACUCUGCAUUAAAAUUUUAAGCAAACCAAAACUACUUUUAUGAGCUCUUAAACAUGGCCAUAACAAAAAGUCCAGUAACUGCUCAAGCUAACAAGUCAAUCUUUUCAACUUUAUUAGGCAAACAGGCAUAUCCCAGUCUCUUGCUUAUCAAGAAGUUAUUUUGAGGUUUAGGAAAAUCCAUUCUGUUACUGAAGUAGUUAAAUAAAAAUAUCCAUUUAUUCACUCGAAAACUGCAAACACAUUGAAAAUAAUUAGCAUUUGAACACUACCAAAGCUACAUAGGUUAAUGAUAGCAAGAGAAGACAUUGUAUAAAUGGAAAUUAUAUUUAAUUUAACUUAGAUGUUGCUUGACAAUAUAAUAUUUAAAUUUUUUUGAAGAUAAAUAAGUGUCAUGAAAUAGAGGAGACGUUAUCGCACCAAAAAUAAGAUUAACUUUUAGUCAACUCUAUCCAAUAAUCAACUAAACAGCCUUGAAGAAGAGAUGUCUUUUCCGAGUCUUGGCUUUGUCAUUGGUAAAGAGGGUUUUGCACUCACUUGCUAGUUGGUAAGGUGCUCCUGAUACCAUGAUUUUCUUUCCCCAGAUAUGAUAUAUCAUGACAGGUAGAAAGAACCCUGGAAUGGUGAGUCAAAGUGCCAGGUCCAACAGCUUAUCAUAAAAAUGGAUGUUUAGCUUAAAAAGGACAGAUAUUUCAAAAUCAGAAAGCAAAGCUCCAAUUCCUAUUUGAUUUGUUUAUUCAUUCUUUUUUGCCUCCAUACAUUAACUUAUUCAUUCUUUGAUUCUACCUAUUUAUUUGGUAUCAGACCGUGGGUUAUGCCCAAGCAUAAAGCAACAAACAAGAGAAGCCUGGACCUUGGACAAAUUUCAGGAAAUAUAAUCCAUUCACAAGGCUUAGGAAGUAGACACCAUAGAACCUAGUGAUUAUUCAGAUUUUAGGAGUUAGGGAAGGGAAAAUCCAACAAUACUGUUCAGGUAUCGGCUUAAGCAAAUGGGUCAAUGGUCAUAUAUUGCUGAGAUAAAGAACAAACACAAAAAAGAUUUAAGGGUAAGAUGAAGAGUUAGAGUUUGGAAAUAUUCAGGUCAAAGUGGCUGUAAGGAAGGCAAGAGGUGAUUUUACAUGGGCAAGUACAAGCCUGAGACUCAGAAGCAAGGUCUUAACUAGAAUGAUACAUUUUGGCAUUUUAGCCACUAAUUAAAACUAGCUGGUCUAUGGCAAUAAAAGCCAUUGUAUGGUUCACCCAGGACAGAGUAUAUCACAAUAAAAUAAGAAGACCUGAGACAGAGUUCCAAGGAUCUUCAAAAGGCAGAAUGAUAGAGGAGCAUGCACAGAAAAUUAGAAGUACAAGAGAAUAGAGAAGAAACCGAUAUAGCAGUCAAUUGAUUGAGAAUGUAAAGGAGGAGGGAUCAAUCAAGUAAUGUGAAAAUUUAUGAAAGUAAGAAAAGAACCAGAAAGAUACCUUUUGAUGAAAUGGAAAUCAUGAGUAUGCAGAGUGAAAGGAGUUUGGUAGAAGGGGAGGCCAGUACACAGGCUGGAAUGAGUUCAAAAAGGAAUUGGAGAAGAGUCUGUUGAAUAAGCCAUGUGAACCUGAGUAAGUCCCUUAACCCUCUGAAUUUCAGUUUCUGCAUAUAAAAUGGGAACUAUAAUAUCUUCUUCAUAUUACUGCUGGGAGGAUUAUUUCACAUCAUAACACAUGCAAAGUGCCUAAUAAAUACUUACUACUUCACCCAAAAGACAUUGAAGCAUUCUAAGAGGGUGUCCACAAACUCGCAUCAACACAUGUGACCAUUCGCCAAUGUCUGUGGUCACACUGCUUCUUACCACUUCCAUCCAAAAUACACGCCAUACCUUGGCUUAUCUUCCUUUCAAAUAUCUUCUGGAUUCACCUUUCUUUUUUUUGGGGGGGGUUCAUCUUUCUUAUCAGCAUUCCCCAGGUUUCAUCAACUCAGAUGUAGAUUUCCAUCCAAUCUCAAUUCACUCUACAGCUCCAAUUCAGGCUCCAAAUCCCUAUCAGCAUAAACACACUAAAAAACUCCAUGGUCACCAUCUCACUCACUGGUACAAGUUCCUCCACUAGCUCCCUUCUGACCAUGCCAACUUCAGCUUUUAUGCCUGAAUCUUAACCACAAUGUUGCUCCACGGUGCCUGCCUCACUUUCUGUUUUGCUCUUCAGAAGAGACUCUUCUUCACUCCAGAUCAAGAAAGUCUUUCUCACUGUACUUUCCUCCUCAUGUCCAAGUUAACCGUCACCUUUCGGAGAACUGUGCUGGCUACAUGGCAGACAUACUAUACUUGAUAAACUCUAUUAAUGUUGCAAGAUCAAACCCAAAGCUAUUCUGUCUCACCAGAUGUCUCUGAAUUCCAGAGAAAACUGAGUUCUCCUUCCCUAGUACUCCCAUGGCAUUUAUAAUCCAAUGGUACACCGUUUUGUAUUUAAUUAUUAGCUGGUGGUUUCUCUUUGAUAACCCUUUUCACCUCAACAGGAAUAUAAAUAGGCACCUUGAACUACAGGUAUGGUUUUUAAUUUCUGUUUAUCCCCUGGUAAUCAAUAUAGUUUGUGACAUGUGGUAAUUGCAAAAUAUAAACUGUAGUGUAAAGACUUCAUAGACUUAAUUUACUUACACUCAAGUUCCUACACUCAAUUUUAGUGCAGUUAAAGUUGAUUUUAAGGACAAAAAAAAAGUUGUCUUAGUAUGUGUCUUCUCUUUGGAGUACAAUAAUAAUCAUUUCAUUUGCUCAGCAUUUUGCUACAUUUACUUACAUUACCUCAUCUGUGAAAUAUGGAGCAGGAUGAAAACUAAAGAUUUUCCCUCUCAUCCCAGUUCAUAUUUUUUCAGCUAUUCCUCAAAAAGAAGCCUCUUUUUUUUUUUUACAUGCUGGGUAAAUUCACACAAAAUAUUUGAGACACAUAGGAUGGACUAAUCAAUUUUGGUAAAAGAUAAUAUUGUUAGUGCUGAGGGCUGUUUCUCUUAUCUUCUUGAUAAUGCAUACUUUUAAAAGUCUGUGAUUACUCAAAGACUUAUGAUAGCCUCACUUAAAAAAAAAAAAAAAAAAAAAGAGAGAGAGAGAAAAAAAAAAGCCCUAAGUCCGAAAUCACUACCAAACAUACUGCAGCUUUUAAGAUAUCAACUCACUUUUUUGUGCAAAUAAAAGAAAUUCACUGGUGGAAAGAAAUACUUAAAAUCAAGAGAGAUACCCUCACAUCUUAUUUUAUUGAAAGUACAACGAAGCCAUUGUUUUCCUUCUUUUAAAUAGGGUUCUUUUGAUGGCUCUUUAGAAAGCAAAAUAUACGAAAACCAUAGUAUACUAAAGGGGAACAGACAAGAUGUGGGUCUUUUAGCAUAGUUAUCAGCAAUCAUACUUCGACUGAAUUCAGCAUUAAGUUGAUGACAUAAAUGUAUAUGGUAUUUACAGAACGUCCCUUAACUCCAGGCUCAGUUUUCGUAGGACAUGGCUGCAAAUAAGUGAGACGACAGAAGAUCAUAUUUCAUUUGCUGAAAAUAAAAUUUGGAUUGGUUUGAACUUGGUUCUAAACAUGUAACCAAAUUUUAAAGCAGACCACAUGAAUUAGCUCAUAAUGUUUAUCAGGCCUUCCUAUAACAGAAGGCUAUAGCGUCAGAACCCGUAUUUAUAUUUUCUUCAUGGCUGGAAAACAUUAUACAUCAUGGUAUCAAACAUGGACAGCCCCGAAGUCAUGCUGAGUUCAAAAAGCGCUCAAAGAUUCUAAAAAUCUCAAAACAUUUUCAAAGUCAGCCAAGGUGGCUGAAGUAUGGCAGAGCUCUUGCUAUUUUAUGGUUUAACCAUUUGACGGCUGCCCGCCAGAUACACAAGUGGGUGAGACGAUCGUUUCACUGCUGAUUAUCUUCACAGCCAAAGUGCAGGGCUGCCACUAUGUGUGUUUCCUCGGGCAUUAAGAACAGCAUGUUUCAUCUGCAUUGAAGACAAACGGUGCCAUUUACAUUAUGCUAUGUUGAGCCAUCUCAAAGCAUAGUUUGGCACAGGAAAUGACAGUUCUUGGUUAAGUGGCUACAAAUCGCCUUAUAGGGAUACCUUUUCUAAUUUCCCUUCUCGAUUUUUGAGUCAUACAGUCAUAACACACACACAACUACAGUUCUGAACAUAAACUUGAAAUACGACAUUCCCUAUUCAAGUGCUCCAGUCAAACCCUGAUAAAUCAGGCUGGCCAUGCAGUGAUCUUAUCCCUUCUGACUCUUUAAUAAAUCGAACCUUGUAAGUUCGUACUGUUGGAAGUUGUCACUAAAUGAAAUUGUGACCUUAUCCGGCGCAUGAACUUAUCCUGCUGACAACUACAUUUAUUGUGUGGAUAAGAAAGGGGAAAGAAAAGAAAAAAAGAAUAAAGAAAAAAAUGAGAUAUUUGAUAAUUCUGAUCUUAGCCAUAUGUAACUCUAACAGAUGGGAUCUUUUUGAUGUUCCAUUAAUGAUUUGCCGAAGAUGAGUCUCUACUUAGAGAAAAAUGCUCACCCUAGGUAAGUGCUGGGGGCACUGCAGAUGUUAUUAAAAGUGCAUGAAGAGGUACUGGGUGACAGCAGCGAAUCAGAAGCUAUUAGUCUAACACAAAGAGCCUGAAUUAGCUUGUAAUUGCACUGGAAAAGAUAACAUAAUGGUGGUGGCAAAAUAGAAACAUUCCCUUUUCAUGCAUUCAGUGCCUAAAAACUCCAAAACAAGACACUGGAAUUGUCUAAAUCCCAGAGCCAGUUAAAUCACUGCAUUUCUCAAGAAUAAAAAUGCACCCUUUGGCUACAGUUUCUAAAACGUCAUGGCAAUCAACGUGCACAGCAUUAAGAAGAAGCAAAUUCACGUGUAUAUGCCACCAUAUAUCAGCAUAGAACACAAACUCAGGAAUCUUUUACUUCAGUAUUCCGGCUGGCUUUAAGAAUUAAUUCUGAGGCUAUGAUAGGUCUGGAUAGUCUUUCUAUUAUUAUAAGGCCUACUGAAACCUACAAAUUACCAUAUUCAACAUAGAGAAAUAGAAGAGAUAAAAUGCGGUUCCAGGUAGUAAUAUCAUUGGUAAUAAGGUAGAAAAUUCAAGAUGUUUUUAAAAACAAAACCAUGAUCUGAAAUAAAACUAGAAAGCCUUCACCUGCGUGUUCACAUACAAAAUAAGUUUUCUAUGCAGAGACCAUGUUCAAGACUGGGGGGAAAAACUGCCAUAUUUUGCCCUUUGCUCUGUGGUCUAUUUCUACAAACAGAAAAUCAGCUCAUCCCAGGUGUCUGAAAACAUUCACGUGGAGUGAGACUGGCUCUUGCAAAUGUUUGGAAGUGUCACUGGAAAGAGGAGCUGCAGUUUCUGGACUCCUUUCAGCUGCUGGAAGGAGGAAGGAGGGAGUCCCCACUCUUGCUCAAGAAACCUGGCACUGUAUGUCUCUUUGCUGCCAGAAACCCUCCCUGACCUUCCAGACACCCCUCCUUGUCACAGGCUGACCCAAUCCCACUUCCUGUUUCAAAUCUUGAGACCCAGAGGGAGACAAUCCUUUGGAAGGCAUGGUUAGGAAGGAAUCAUCACAGAAGUGAAAGGUCUGGGCUAACAGACACAGAAAACAGCAGCGGAGGGGCAACAGCCAAAAGUUAGUCAACGGGCAGGAGGUCCGUAGAAGGGACAGGACCCACAGGGCACUGGUCUGCUGGAGAAGGUUUGUUUCCUCCAGGAGAAAAGAACUCUAAAGGAGAAACUUUGGGUACAAAUCAACCCUAGACCCUGUUUGACUAAAAUUAAACAAGCUUUUAAAGAACAUUUACUAUAGAACUUCGGUGCACCUUAUUGAUAUUUGGAGUUCUAAAUUUUAGGCAACAUCUACUUCGGUAGAUGUUAAAAUGGCAGGCUCUCUCACAGGUUAAAUUUAUUCAUGUGGAAAAAGAUACUUGGCGCACAAUGGAACUAAAGACCACUGGCUUGCUAGGUACUUCUUUAGCUCAAAAACCAUAUUAAUCCAGAUGUCUUUUUUUUUCUCUUUUUUAACACAUUGUGAAAUGGUGCAGAUGGAGAAGUAAGGAAAUGCAAUGACAAACUUUAACAGGUAAACGUUCUUAAGCAUCAACUGUGAUUAGGAUGAGUUUUACCCGGAUGAAAAGGUCUAUAUUUGGAAUGGAGAGGUGACUUUUGGGGCCACAAUACUGGAGAGCCAAAGGAUGGCAGAAUGACUUCACAGAUGAACAAAUAACAUGGGGAAAUGACAGUAUUACUUUCAAAGUCUUUAAUCCAGGGAAGUCACAGUGCUCUAUAAAGUACUCUCAGCCAAGAUAGAAACAUGCAGAAGACUGGUCUAAAAGUGACAUUCCAUGAUGGAUUUAAAAUUUUUCAUCCAGUGAACAAGCAUCACUUUAAAAAAAAAUAGUACAGAAAUUCUACUAUCUCCUCUUCCAGUUUCUCCAAAUGGUAAUGUCUAAUAUAACCAACAGUAUGAUUAUCAACACCAGAAGAUUAAUGUUAACUAAUCUAACUAACCUGUUUGUAAAUAUUAACUAAUUUACAAACUGUAUUCUUGUCUUUCAUGACCUCGAUGUGAGUGAGGAACACUGGCCAUUAUUUUAAAGACUGUCUCUUAAGUUGCAUUCGUCUGGUAUCUCCUCAUGAAGAGACCAAGGUUAUGCAUUGUCACCAGAAGGAACGCUGUGUCCUUCCCAGUGUCCCACAGCAGGGGGUACAUGAGAUCCAUAUGUCCUAUUACUAGUGAGGGUCAUUUUGAUGAUUUGGUUAAAGUUGUGUCUGCCAGGUUUCUCCACUGUCAAGUUGGCAAAUUUCCCUUUGUAAUGAAUAAGUAUCUAGUGGGGAAAUAAUUUGACACUAUGUGAAUAUGCCAUUUCUCAUCAUACUACUGAAAUGUUUUCUGAAGUCUGGAUGUGGGUCCCCAAAUUUGGGAGAACAAGUCCUGCCCAGUAUCAAACAUUAAAGAAUUAAGUGUAUCAGCCACUUAAUUCUCUUACUUAUGGCAUCUGCAAUAAAUAGGAUACAGGCGUAUCUGGUGUGAAAAUGCCUUCAUAGACAGAAAGAUUUAAUAUGUAGGCUAUAGCGUUGGCACAAAGUUUUUAUUUCUGAAGUUUGGACUCAUACUGCUGAAAAUAUUAAUUUCAGAUAAUACUUCCAGAAAUAUAAUUCCAAAAGAUCAAGCAAGCUGCAGUCACUUCCUCGAAAUUCUGGAGCCUCUUAUUAAUGCUUGUGUAUCUUCCUAGUUGUAUAUAUUCUUAAGUUAUACAUAACUGAGAAGAGAAAUAUUGCCGAAAGCAGCCUCCCUGACACUCUGUGUUUUAGGGUACAGUCUUAGUCAAUCUUUCUGUGUUUUUAAAGCCUUCUCUGUGUGGUAUAGAGCUCUAAAUACCUGUCAUUAGUGUUAUGCUUAAACCCUACCGUUUUUUGGAAGUCUAUUGUUACCUCCUAAAUGAACACCUCUCUGAUUCACACAGCUCCUCCUUGCCAGAAAUUCAGAGGUGAUCUCUCCCUUUGAACUCCUACAGCAUUGAUUUUAAUUCUAAUAUUUUUCAUCAUUGUCUUCUUUAUAAUAGUGAUUUGUAUAUCUUUAUGAUCUCUCUAAUGGAACUUUUUAGAUAUCCCACAAAGCUCUGUACCUGGUAGAGUUGCAGAAACUAUAUAUAUAUCUUCACUGCUUUGGGUUAAAUCAUUGUUUCUAAAGAGGCCUUUAAAUCAGUGUUAUACAUACCACUUUUUCAUUUUCUAAUGCAUACUUUAAUAGUUCGUUCCCUGAGAGACAAAGUCGGUAUGAUUUUACCAUCAUAUUUAUUGGGCUGGGGCUCAAACUUAAGUUACAAAAUUAGUGGUGAAACUUGGACUCCAACUCUGUUUUUCUGAUGCUCUCAUGCUCAGUUUGCUUCAUCAGACUGCCUCUUUUAAAAAAUUUUAACAACUUAACUAGGUGGAAGGAUUGACCUCAAGCCCCAGUAUCAUAUCAGCAGCCAUUAGAAUGGAUUCAUUUAUAAGAUUAGCUGCCAGUCAAUUUGGAAAGCAGAAUAUGAAUGCCUGAAGGAUGGGGCCACAGGGCAAGUUUUGAAGGAGGCAAGGUGGUAGAAAAGAUUAAACAAACAAAACACUGAGAAAGCUUUACAGAGCGGAGUGGCAAAAUUAUUGUUUGAUUAUCAGAGUUCACAAUAAACUAUUACAUUUCUAUCCCAAAAAUUUCAGACAGAAAAAAAAUCUAAGGUACAAGGUUUUAAAUCCAUGGAGUUUCCCACAUUCCCUCUCUCCUUGAUGACCAGUCUUCAGAGAAAAUAGUUAUAGAAUAAAUAAAAUAAAAAUUUGAAAGUCUGAUUAAAUAUAUCACAUCAAUACUAACAUAAGAAAGGACAUAAGCUUUUUUUCAUAGCAAUACUAAGCAUAAAAGGCAUUUUGAACAUUCCAAAACAACACCCCACCUUUUCAUUUGGUUGAUGGCAUUUUCUCCGAAGAAAGCAUUCUGAUGGGAAACUGCACACAGUGAUUGCAAAACAGAAUAUCUGAUGCCCUCACAUUUUUCAGCUUGUAAAAUAUUUCUAUAGCCCACAUGUAGCCCUCAAGUGAGUUAAGUAGGUAAAUGCUCUCUAUAUUGUGAUCGGUAUAUGUUAUUCCUCUUCUCUUCAUCCCCCGCCCCCUGCUUUUUUUUUUACUUUCCUUGGACCUGCCCCUUUCCAACAUGAAUAUAAGAUAUAAAAACACCAGCUCUUGAAGGAGGGAGAUAAGGAAAGAGGAAAGAGGGAAGGAGAAAGAGAGAAAGAGGAAGAAAGCCAACUAGGCAAGAUGGCAGAUACUAUUACUCAUGAGUGUGGUUUCCAAAAAUUCAGAGCUUGUUACACAAAUCUAAGGUCUGAUCCUUUCCUCUACAUAGAAGCAACUGCCUCUGAAAACAUCAUUUCUGUGGAGUGACCCCUCAUAGGAAGUCUGACAUAUGCUCAUUUGCGGCAUGACCUAACAGAGCUACAAUAGCUCACCAGGUAUUCAACUUCUGCAGGCAGAAUUAUUUUCAGGACUAUUUUAUUUAUAAAACUGCACUCAAUAAAACUUUCGUUAAAAAAGGUAUAUACUCAUUUAAAAUUAUUUGUUAAACACAUAAUGCCAGGCACAGUGUGGAAUACUGAGAUACAAACAUGAAUCUAACGUCUAUCUUUUCCUUAUGGGACUUAUUCUAACGGUGAUGAGAUAAUUAUGACUCAACUUAAGAAGUUUUUGGUAAAAGCAGGAGAUAAAAUUUGACCAGCAAGAAAAAAACAGCUCCUAAGGCAACUCAGAGAAAUCAGGAAUAGCAUCUCAGA